UUGUAAGUGUUUUAGGGCGUUCGGUGGAUGCCUUGGUACACGGAGCCGAUGAAGGACGUUGUAGCCUGCGAUAAGCCUCGGGGAGUUGGCAUACGAGCUGUGAUCCGAGGGUGUCCGAAUGGGGGAACCUGCCUGGAGUUGUUUCUGGGUACCGUCAUCUGAAUGUAUAGGGUGAUUGGGGGUAACGCGGGGAAGUGAAACAUCUUAGUACCCGUAGGAAGAGAUAUUCUGUGAGUAGUGGCGAGCGAAAGCGGAUGAGGUUAAACCGGGUGUGUGUGAUAGCCGUCGGGCGUUGCAUAUUCGGGGUUGUGGGGCCUGCAGUGAUUCCCUCCGACGGGGGGUCGAGGAGUGAUAAAGGUGGCAGAUAGGUGAAUCAGUUGGGAAGCUGGACCGUAGACCGUGAUAGUCGGGUAGUUGAAAUCUGUUGCUCUUCUUUGUGGUGUUCCCGAGUAGCACGGGGCUCGUGAAAUCUCGUGUGAAUCUGCACAGACCACUGUGUAAACCUAAAUACUUCGUGUGACCGAUAGUGAAUGAGUACCGUGAGGGAAUGGUGAAAAGUACCCCGGGAGGGGAGUGAAAUAGUACCUGAAACCGGACGCUUACAAUCCGUCAGAGCCCUUUUUGGUGGGGGUGAUGGCGUGCCUUUUGAAGAAUGAGCCUGCGAGUUAGGAUGUGUGGCGAGGUUAACCCGUGUGGGGUAGCCGUAGCGAAAGCGAGUCUGAAUAGGGCGGUUUGAGUUGCAUGUUCUAGACCCGAAGCGAAGUGAUCUAGCCAUGGGCAGGGUGAAGCACGUGUAAGAGCGUGUGGAGGCCCGAACCCACUUCAGUUGAAAAUGGAGGGGAUGACCUGUGGUUAGGGGUGAAAGGCCAAUCAAACUUCGUGAUAGCUGGUUCUCCCCGAAAUGCAUUUAGGUGCAGCGUUGCGUGUGCUUGCUGGUGGUAGAGCGACUGGAUGGUCGAUGGCCCUUAUACCGGGUACUGAGAUCAGCCAAACUCCGAAUGCUGGUUUAAGUUGAGCGUGGCAGUGAGACUGCGGGGGAUAAGCUCCGUAGUCGAGAGGGAAACAGCCCAGAUCAUCGGUUAAGGCCCCUAAGGGUGUGCUAAGUGGGAAAGGAUGUGGAGUUGCUGUGACAACCAGGAGGUUGGCUUAGAAGCAGCCAUCCUUGAAAGAGUGCGUAAUAGCUCACUGGUCAAGUGAUUCCGCGCCGACAAUGUAGCGGGGCUAAGUACACCGCCGAAACCGUGGCAACAAGUUUUUGUUGGGUAGGGGAGCGUCGUGCUCGAGAUGAAGCUGCCGGGUGACCGUGUGGUGGAUUGGGUGCGAGUGAGAAUGCAGGCAUGAGUAGCGAAUGACGGGUGAGAAUCCCGUCCUCCGAAUGACUAAGGGUUCCAGGGCCAGGUUCUUCCGCCCUGGGUUAGUCGGGUCCUAAGGCGAGGCCGACAGGCGUAGUCGAUGGGCAACCAGUUGUUAUUCUGGUACCGGCGAAGGACCGUCCAUGCUGAAGCGGGGGAUACUAACCAUCCUUGCUUGCUGUUGUACCCUUUCGGGGGUUGAUGGUAAGUGAGCGUGGGACCUGAUCUUGUGGUAGGCAAGCGUGUUAACAGGGGUGACGCAGAGUGGUAGCUUCCGCGUGGCUAAUGGCUUGCCACGUUUAACAGCGCAGCUCGUUCCUUAGGUAAAUCCGGGGAACAUGGUGAGUGAGGCUGGAUGAUGAGACCGUGUGGUCGAAGUAGAGUGAUCCUGUGCUGCCGAGAAAAGCCUCGACGUGAGGUCCAAGCCGCCCGUACCCUAAACCGACACAGGUAGUCGAGUAGAGUAUACUAAGGAGUUCGAGUGAAUCGUGGUUAAGGAACUCGGCAAAAUGCCCCCGUAACUUCGGGAGAAGGGGGGCCUGAUCCUUGAAGCACCUUGCGUGCUAGGGGUGAUGGCCGCAGAAACCAGGGAGAAGCGACUGUUUAUCAAAAACACAGGUCCGUGCGAACACGUAAGUGGAUGUAUACGGACUGACGCCUGCCCGGUGCUGGAAGGUUAAGAGGAUCGGUUAGCCACCUUGUGUGGCGAAGCUGAGAAUUUAAGCCCCAGUAAACGGCGGUGGUAACUAUAACCAUCCUAAGGUAGCGAAAUUCCUUGUCGGGUAAGUUCCGACCUGCACGAAUGGCGUAACGACUUCUCCACUGUCUCAACCGCGAACUCGGUGAAAUUGCAUUACGAGUAAAGAUGCUCGUUACGCGCAGCAGGACGGAAAGACCCCGGGACCUUUACUAUAGCUUGGUAUUGGUGUUUGGUACGGUUUGUGUAGGAUAGGUGGGAGACUGUGAAGCCGUGACGCUAGUUAUGGUGGAGUCAUUGUUGAAAUACCACUCUGAUCGUGCUGGAUGUCUAACCUCGGACCAUGAUCUGGUUCAGGGACAGUGCCUGGUGGGUAGUUUAACUGGGGCGGUUGCCUCCUAAAAUGUAACGGAGGCGCUCAAAGGUUCCCUCAGCCUGGUUGGUAAUCAGGUGUCGAGUGUAAGUGCACAAGGGAGCUUGACUGCGAGACUGACAAGUCGAGCAGGUACGAAAGUAGGAACUAGUGAUCCGGCGGUGGCUUGUGGAAGCGCCGUCGCUCAACGGAUAAAAGGUACCCCGGGGAUAACAGGCUGAUCCUGCCCAAGAGUUCAUAUCGACGGCAUGGUUUGGCACCUCGAUGUCGGCUCGUCGCAUCCUGGGGCUGGAGUAGGUCCCAAGGGUUGGGCUGUUCGCCCAUUAAAGCGGUACGCGAGCUGGGUUCAGAACGUCGUGAGACAGUUCGGUCCCUAUCCGCUGCGCGCGUUGGAAACGUGAGAAGGGCUGUCCCUAGUACGAGAGGACCGGGACGGACGAACCUCUGGUGUGCCAGUUGUACCGCCAGGUGCAUGGCUGGUUGGCUACGUUCGGAAAGGAUAACCGCUGAAAGCAUCUAAGCGGGAAGCCUGCUUCAAGAUAACGUUUCCCGAACACCCUUGGGUGUUGAGAGGUCCCCUAUAGACCAUGGGGUUGAUAGGCCAGACGUGGAAGCACUGUAAAGUGUGGAGCUGACUGGUACUAAUGGGCCGACCACUUAAAAAA
rnacentral:rRNA from 1 species